UACGGAGGGGGCUAGCGUUGUUCGGAAUUACUGGGCGUAAAGCGCACGUAGGCGGCUUUGUAAGUUAGAGGUGAAAGCCCGGGGCUCAACUCCGGAAUUGCCUUUAAGACUGCAUCGCUAGAAUUGUGGAGAGGUAAGUGGAAUUCCGAGUGUAGAGGUGAAAUUCGUAGAUAUUCGGAAGAACACCAGUGGCGAAGGCGACUUUCUGGCUCGACACUGACGCUAAGGCGCGAAAGCGUGGGGAGCAAACAGG
rnacentral:rRNA from 1 species